rnacentral:rRNA from 1 species
UGGCGAACGGGUGAGUAACUCGUGGACUACCUGCCUCAAGGCUGGGGAUUACAUUUGGAAACAGAUGCUAAUACCGAAUGAAACUUAGUGUCGCACCAAAUGAAGUUCAAAGGCGCUUUGGCGUCACCUAAAGAUGGAUCCGCGGUGCAUUAGUUAGUUGGUGGGGUAAAGGCCUACCAAGACAAUGAUGCAUAGCCGAGUUGAGAGACUGAUCGGCCACAUUGGGACUGAGCCAGGGUCCAACUCUCUACGGGAGGCUGCAGUAGGGAAUCUUCCACAAUGGGCGAAAGCCUGAUGGAGCAACGCCGCGUGUGUGAUGAAGGCUUUCGGGUCGUAAAGCACUGUUGUAUGGGAAGAACAGCUAGAAUAGGGAAUGAUUUUAGUUUGACGGUACCAUACCAGAAAGGGACGGCUAAAUACGUGCCAGCAGCCGCGGUAAUACGUAUGUCCCGAGCGUUAUCCGGAUUUAUUGGGCGUAAAGCGAGCGCAGACGGUUGAUUAAGUCUGAUGUGAAAGCCCGGAGCUCAACUCCGGAAUGGCAUUGGAAACUGGUUAACUUGAGUGCAGUAG